rnacentral:rRNA from 1 species
UGUAUUUAUUAGAUAAAAAACCAAUGCCUUUCGGGGCUCUUUGGUGAUUCAUGAUAACUUAACGGAUCGCAUGGCCCUUGCGCCGGCGACGGGUUCAUUCAAAUUUCUGCCCUAUCAACUUUCGAUGGUAAGGUAUUGGCUUACCAUGGUUUCAACGGGUAACGGGAGAUUAGGGUUUGACUCCGGAGAGGGAGCCUGAGAAACGGCUACCACAUCCAAGGAAGGCAGCAGGCGCGCAAAUUACCCAAUCCCGACACGGGGAGGUAGUGACAAUAAAUACUGAUACAGGGCUCUUUCGGGUCUUGUAAUUGGAAUGAGUACAAUUUAAACCCCUUAACGAGGAACAAUUGGAGGGCAAGUCUGGUGCCAGCAGCCGCGGUAAUUCCAGCUCCAAUAGCGUAUAUUAAAGUUGUUGCAGUUAAAAAGCUCGUAGUUGAACCUUGGGCCUGGCUGGCCGGUCCGCCUCACCGCGUGCACUGGUUCGGCCGGGCCUUUCCUUCUGGAGAGCCGCAUGCCCUUUACUGGGUGUGCCGGGGAACCAGGACUUUUACUUUGAAAAAAUUAGAGUGUUCAAAGCAGGCCUUUGCUCGAAUACGUUAGCAUGGAAUAAUAGAAUAGGACGUGCGGUCCUAUUUUGUUGGUUUCUAGGACCGCCGUAAUGAUUAAUAGGGAUAGUCGGGGGCAUCAGUAUUCAAUUGUCAGAGGUGAAAUUCUUGGAUUUAUUGAAGACUAACUACUGCGAAAGCAUUUGCCAAGGAUGUUUUCAUUAAUCAGUGAACGAAAGUUAGGGGAUCGAAGACGAUCAGAUACCGUCGUAGUCUUAACCGUAAACUAUGCCGACUAGGGAUCGGGCGAUGUUACUAUUUUGACUCGCUCGGCACCUUACGAGAAAUCAAAG